GACUGCCAUGGAGGAAGGAUCUCUUCCUGGAGAUUGCUCCCAUGGGGGCUUUUCUGUGAGCCUGGGACACGGCACCAGGGGAAGGUCCCGGAUCUGCCCCAUUACCAUCUGUCAGGAAGCAAAGUGGAGCUGCUGGAAGAUAAUGCAUGCUGUAGAGUGAGGACUGACAACUACGCAAGGCCUGAGCACGGAGAUGUCAUAGCUGAAGAGAACUGAAGGAAGAGUCUCUAAUGUAGAGUGGACAUAGAAUGAUUGUGAGAGAGGAGUAGAAAAGCCCAUGUGGUUUCUAAAAUGCUGCUGUUUGUCAUACCUCAGAGUCCUCUUCCAUCCUCCUCAAGCAUCCCUCACAGUUCAUAGUACCCUAACAUUCACCUGGAACAGAAAGACCUUUCCUAGCCCCCUCUUUUUUAAUUCUGAAAUUUCUCACCUCCUACUGCUGCAGAAUUUAAUCAACUACACAAACGCAGAAUGUUUAAAACCAUGUUUCAGCCGAUGCUUUCUUUCUGCUUCAUUCUCCCCAUCCAGGGAAAGAGAAAUUCUUUUGAAAUCUGCCCGGUCUCUUCUGGUUCUUAGGCCUCUUCUUUGCCUCCAGUCAUAUAUUUAAAUAACCACGUGCUGAGACAAGGUGUAGCUUGACUCUGUCUUCAUUCCCUCAAUCUGGGCCUGGAAACCAAAGCUGAUAACCAGCCUUUCCCUUAAUCAAAACCCAGGAUAGGAUGUUCCAUCUCUUGAGAUCCUAAAAGCCUCUUUGGAGGGACUCUUCGGAGUCUGUUUUUUUUAAAAUCACUUGGGUUAUUUUUGAACCAGGAAAGGAUAACAGCCAGACCAGACAUUGGUAUCAGCUGGGAUGCAACAAUUAACAACUAAACAGGGGUGUAAGAAUUAGCCAAAAAUUAUGCCUCAUCCCCUGCUAACUGUACAAAAUAACAGCAUGGCUCUCACCUAGACUGGGGCUAAGGCCCAGGCCAAGCAUGCAAGGUGCACACAGCCUUGAACCAUUCCUUACUGCUUCCUUCUUUUCCUCUGAAGCACCAGUUAAACUAAGGAGAUCUUACAGCAUCGGAUUAUGAUUAACUUAUGAUCAGCUCCGUGUAAAUAUCGGAGAGCUACAGAGAAGCUCAAAUGUUAUCAUGGCUGUUCUCUUGGAUCACUUCAGAGAGGCAGGGUGUGUGGGAGGAGGAGAGCAAAGCUGUGUGCCAGAGGAGGCAAAAUGUCAAGGGGACAACAAGGCCGGGUCACCUGGAGCCGUCUGGUGUGACUGCAACGAGUGGGAAAGGAGUGCCUGACAGAGCAGAGGAUGAGCAGAACAAGGUGACACCAGUGAUAACAUUCUCAAGAUUAUUCUAUCAAGAAAGACCGGAAAAAAAAUAUCAGGGGCAGUAUCCAAAACAGUUUUAAAUUCAAUUGGCAGGGGUCAGAAGUCAUUACCAGCCGACAGCUGUAUCUGUGUUUCGUGUGAAACAAGCAGAGUGCUCGUGUAGUUCCUUGGCUUGUGUCCAAUUAAAACAAAAUACAAUGAAAAAACUGCUAUGCUCCUGAGAAGGCCAAGGCACAAUGCAGGUGGAAGUGACCUACACCUCCCACAUAAGGAGAUCAAUCUGGGAAGCACCGAGAUGUGCUGCAGUGCUGUGCCAUCUUACUAGCAUGGAAACAGAGUUCCCAUAUUAACUAUGAAUGUCUCUUUAAAGGUAGUAUACAGAUGCAGUGUAUUCCCUGAACUCUAUUCUUGGUAUGUUACUAAGAGACGGCUGUUUCUAUGGAGAGCUCAUUGGUGGGCAAAAUAAACCAUUUUGAUGAAUUAGAAAAAAGGUAAAUUAAUUUUUUAAACGAAAUAUUGCAUGAGAAUGCUAAUGAUAUGAAGCCACGCUAAUGCAGAAUUAUGAAUGCAUACUUCCUUUCUCUUUUUUUAUUUUUUAAUUUCUAGUGGACAUUUAUCCUAAAUUCUGUAUUGUCUACAAACUGAUAUAAAUUAGUAUCUGUCCUGCGAAAUACUUAACAGAUGAAACAGCCACCUAUGUAGUGGCUACAAAAAAAGCUUCAGUUGAACAUUUGUUUUAAAACCAUGUAUGAUUGUACAGCAUUUUAUUGUGGUUUAUGAGUAUCUACAUGACCAUGAAUAUGCCAUGUUCUGAACUGAACAAAAGAGCUUUGAAAUAAGAAUUGUAAAGGCAGAGAAGGAGAGAAUAAAGUACAGCAUUUAAUUUUAACAUGCUUCUGUGAUAACAGCUAGACUCUACAGAUGAGAAGCAAUAGAUAUGUGGGGGUUUGUAGCAUUCCUGCUUCUUUCUUGUUUAUAGCUCUAAUUAUUUUACACUGUGCUGAAACAGACCUCGAAAAACACUGUGCUUGACUUAGAGAACAGUUUAGUUGAUCAGUCAACAAUAUGGCAAAGUAAAUAACAAGAAGCUACACAAAAAGAAGUCAGUGAGGAAUUCUACAAUUAAAGCAGUCAGAAUUUAUGUGAGUAAACUUUUCUUUCUCUAUCUUUAUAUCUGUAGAAAUUAUUCAUCUCAUUUAAAGACUCACUGUGACAUUUUCUGUGUCAGACUCAGAAAAACUCUGUAUGUACUGGUUCAUUCAAUUGUCUUUUGUCACCC
ensembl:lncRNA